UGCCCCCUGGCCCAGUUGGUUAAGGCGCACGACUGUUAACAAUUACGUGAUUACGUAAGCGCAAAUCGUGAGAUCGAGAGUUCGAGCCUCUCGGGGGCAG